rnacentral:rRNA from 1 species
AUGCAUGUCUAAGCACAUACCUUAACACGGUGAAGCUGCGAAUGGCUCAUUAGAUCGGCUAUUAUUUAUUAGAUCAUACCAAGUUACUUGGAUAACUGUGGUAAUUCUAGAGCUAAUACAUGCGACACGGCUCCGACCUUCGGGGAAGAGCGAGUUUAUUAGAUCAAAACCAAUCGGGCCUCGGCUCGAGAGUUGGUGACUCUGGAUAACUUCGAUCUGAUCGCAGGGCCUUGCGCCGGCGACGUAUCUUUCAAGUGUCCGCCCUAUCAACUUUCGUCGGUAAGUGACCUGCUUACCGAGGUUGUGACGGGUAACGGGGAAUCAGGGUUCGAUUCCGGAGAGGGAGCAUGAGAAACGGCUACCACA